rnacentral:rRNA from 1 species
GACGAACGCUGGCGGCGUGCUUAACACAUGCAAGUCGAACGGUGACGGAGGAGCUUGCUCCUCCUGAUCAGUGGCGAACGGGUGAGUAACACGUGAGCAAUCUGCCCCUGACUCUGGGAUAACUGCGGGAAACUGUAGCUAAUACCGGAUACGACGCGCGAAGGCAUCUUCUGCGCGUGGAAAGAAUUUCGAUCAGGGAUGAGCUCGCGGCCUAUCAGCUUGUUGGUGAGGUAAUGGCUCACCAAGGCGACGACGGGUAGCCGGCCUGAGAGGGUGACCGGCCACACGGGGACUGAGACACGGCCCAGACUCCUACGGGAGGCAGCAGUGGGGAAUAUUGCACAAUGGGCGCAAGCCUGAUGCAGCAACGCCGCGUGAGGGACGACGGCCUUCGGGUUGUAAACCUCUUUUGGCAGGGAAGAAGCGAAAGUGACGGUACCUGCAGAAAAAGCACCGGCUAACUACGUG